rnacentral:rRNA from 1 species
GACGUAGGGCGCGAGCGUUGUCCGGAUUUAUUGGGCGUAGAGAGCUCGUAGGCGGUUUGUUGCGUCGGCUGUGAAAACCCAUGGCUUAACUGUGGGCUUGCAGCCGAUACGGGCAGACUAGAGUUCGGUAGGGGAGACUGGAAUUCCUGGUGUAGCGGUGAAAUGCGCAGAUAUCAGGAGGAACACCGGUGGCGAAGGCGGGUCUCUGGGCCGAUACUGACGCUGAGGAGCGAAAGCGUGGGGAGCGAACAGGAUUAGAUACCCUGGUAGUCCACGCUGUAAACGUUGGGCGCUAGGUGUGGGGGACCUCUCCGGUCUUCUGUGCCGCAGCUAACGCAUUAAGCGCCCCGCCUGGGGAGUACGGCCGCAAGGCUAAA